UCGUUUUGCAGAGCAGGCUGA
rnacentral:piRNA from 1 species